UAAACAGCGGAAUAGAUUAAGUGAGUCUAGGCUCAUCAGAGAUAGACAAUUCAUCAACUAGGAAUACUGGAUAGAAUAACUAGGAAACAGAUGGUAGGUUGAAUCAGGAAUCACUCCCCAGCUUAGUAUCGUGCACGCCAACCGCCUACCCUGAAAAUGUUUGAAAAGAAUUUGGGCUGAGUACUAGUGUACUCAGUGAGCAAGAGUUUACAAGAUAUUUUAUGAAAUAAUUAAAUAGAGCAGUUUAUCCAAUAUCAUAAUCAUAACUCAGAAGGUUUUAAAACAGAAAUCCACUUCUAAGCAUGACAAAACAUUAUAUACGUUGAGGGCCCCAUGUAACGUUCAAUUGUUACUCGCUGCUUAUGAUCCCGGGCCUUUAACCACCGUCGGAUCGCUUACCGCGCUUAAGUGAACCCGGGACGCUACCCAGACGGAACACAUCAUCAUCUGUGCUUGGAACGUGUCCAGGAGCACCCUUAUAACGCCUGCUUAGCUUUGUUAGUGCCCAAAUGGUGAUCAACCCAUUGAGCAACUAACCUUGUGUACACAAUCUUCAUCUAACGUGUUAGGUCAAAUGAGAAUCUCGAUCGAUGCUUAUGCGAGCAUUAAACAAUACAGAACGCACAUAAAAACAUUUAUAUUGGAUAAACGAACAUUUUCAUGAAAUAUCAGAGCUUAUAUAACUCAAGAUACAUUUAUGUAAAAUAAAGCCCACCUCAAGUGGAGAUUCGAUAAUUGGCUUGCUUUGAGACUUCACUGCCCUUGGUCACUCAAACCUACAAGAAAUCUAUUCUUAAAUAGAUCCCAAGGUUUCAUUCUAAUUUCUAGGUAACAGGAAAUACUAAUUAUUGAUACACUUUGCCCAG
rnacentral:lncRNA from 1 species